rnacentral:rRNA from 1 species
AAUAGAUACCCUGGUAGUCCACGCCGUAAAUGAUGGAUGCUAGCUGUUAUGCGUAUCGACCCGUGUAGUAGCGAAGCUAACGCGUUAAGCAUCCCGCCUGGGGAGUACGAACGCAAGUUUAAAACUCAAAGGAAUUGACGGGGACCCGCACAAGCGGUGGAGCGUGUUCUUUAAUUCGAGGCUAAGCGAAGAACCUUACCAGGGCUUGACAUCCUUGGAAUUUCUCCGAAAGGAGAGAGUACUUUAUUGGACCAAGUGACAGGUGCUGCAUGGCCGUCGUCAGCUCGUGUCGUGAGAUGUUUGGUUAAGUCCAUUAACGAGCGCAACCCUUAUGAAUAGUUGUAUUUUUCUAUUCAGACUGCCACGGUAACGGGGAGGAAGGGGGGGUAUGAUGUCAGGUCAGUAUUGCCCUUACGCCCUGGGCUAGAAACGCGCUACAAUGGCCGGUACAAUGCGCUGCCAACCCGGCGAGGGGGAGCAAAUCGCAUCAAAGCCGGUCCCAGUUCGGAUAAGAGGCUGAAACUCGCCUCUUUGAAGCCGGAAUCGCU